rnacentral:ncRNA from 2 species
UCACGUGACAUUUUGAAUUUCAGGAGGAAUUCUGCUACCCAGUGGAAUGCCUCGCUCUUACUGUGGAAGAAGUGAUGCAUAUUCGCCAGGUCCUGGUGAAGGCAGAGCUGGAAAAAUACCAACAGUAUAAAGACAUCUACACCGCCUUGAAAAAAGGAAAGCUCUGCUUUUGUUGCCGAACCAGGAGGUUUUCCUUCUUCACUUGGUCUUAUACCUGUCAGUUCUGUAAGAGGCCGGUGUGCUCACAGUGUUGCAAAAAGAUGCGGCUGCCCUCCAAACCAUACUCCACUCUUCCUAUCUUUUCAUUGGGACCUUCUGCUCUGCAAAGAGGGGAAAGUAGUAUGAGGUCAGAAAAACCCUCCACUGCCCAUCAUCGGCCACUUCGGAGCAUUGCCAGGUUCUCCUCAAAAUCUAAGUCUAUGGACAAAUCAGAUGAAGAACUCCAGUUUCCCAAAGAGUUGAUGGAGGACUGGAGCACCAUGGA